GACGAACGCUGGCGGCGUGCCUAACACAUGCAAGUCGAACGGGACCAGAUGUCAGACAGCGGACAUCAGGAGACAGAUUACAGAUGGCAGAAUACAGAUUCAGAAGAGGGCGUGGAGGAAACCAAGCCUAGAUUCUAAUAUCCUAAGUCUGAGCAUUAGUAUCUGAACUCUGGUAUCUGGCGUCUGAUGUCUGGUCUAGUGGCGGACGGGUGAGUAACGCGUGAGCAACCUGCCUUACAGAGGGGGAUAACAUUCGGAAACAAAUGCUAAUACCGCAUAACAUAUAUUUACGGCAUCGUAGAUAUAUCAAAGGAGCAAUCCGCUGUAAGAUGGGCUCGCGUCCGAUUAGAUAGUUGGUGAGGUAAUGGCUCACCAAGUCUGCGAUCGGUAGCCGGACUGAGAGGUUGAACGGCCACAUUGGGACUGAGACACGGCCCAGACUCCUACGGGAGGCAGCAGUGGGG
rnacentral:rRNA from 1 species